GAUGAACGCUGGCGGCGUGCUUAACACAUGCAAGUCGAACGGAAAGGCUCCUGCUUGCAGGGGUACUCGAGUGGCGAACGGGUGAGUAACACGUGGGUGAUCUGCCCUGCACUUCGGGAUAAGCCUGGGAAACUGGGUCUAAUACCGGAUAGGACGAUGGUUUGGAUGCCAUUGUGGAAAGUUUUUCGGUGUGGGAUGAGCUCGCGGCCUAUCAGCUUGUUGGUGGGGUAAUGGCCUACCAAGGCGUCGACGGGUAGCCGGCCUGAGAGGGUGUACGGCCAAAUUGGGCCUGAAGUACGGCCCAAACCCCUACGGGGGGCAGCAGUGGGGAAUUUUGCACAAGGGGCGAAAGCCUGAUGCAGCGACGCCGCGUGGGGGAUGACGGCCUUCGGGUUUUAACCUCCUUUCGCUGGGGACGAAGCGCAAGUACCGGUACCUGGAGAAGAGGCCCCGGCUAACUACGU
rnacentral:rRNA from 1 species